UUAGUCAAACCAUCGUCGUUUUGCUGCCUUAUUUUUUACCCAGACAAUAACAAUAAACAUUUUCCCCGUUCUCCCUUCAUUUCCCCCCUUUUCCUUAGUCCCAAAUCCCUAAAGUACUUAUCGUGUCGUCUUCCCCAUUUCUCUUGCAAGAAGGGACUAGAUUGCGAGUAUCGGCAUAGUGAAGUUGCCAGGCUCAACCCGAGGGACUGCUGGUAUUGGUUGGCUGGGAAUUGUAUUAAUCCGACUUGUGGUUUUCGGCAUCCUCCUCUGUUUCCUGGUGAGAGUGGAGUAGACCAGCUUGUUGAAAUUAUUAAGGAAAAAUGCGUAGGAGAAGAUUACGAGAUUUAAGUAUUGUCCAGAAUACUCCAAAUUCGGAAGAAGGAAAUAGUGAACAGCAGACCAUUGUUGGAUCUUCGAAUGUGCCGGAGACAGUUGAUGAGCCUGAAGAAU